AAUGUACAUAGGCCCGAAAGCAAACGAUCUACACAUGUCCAAGAUUUAAUAUAUAUUAAAUAAAAUAAAUAAAUUAAAGUCUGAAUAGGUGAAUGUAGCAAUAUUUUCUAAAGAGAUGUGUGUAGUAGUGAAAGACAAAUCUGGUUUGCAGAUAGCUGGUUUUCUGCGAAAUAUAUAUUAGUAUAGCCUUUAUUGGAGUAUUAACUGGUACAGCACUUAAAUCAUUUUGGGGGAUUAAAAAUAAUUUUAUCAAAAGAUUUAAAUCUCGGAAACAGUAAACCAUAAGAUAAGGAGUCAGACUUAUUGCGAUAAGGUAGUAGGUCUAAAAGGAAACAACCUAGAUUGUUAAAUAAAUGUCCCAAAUUUAUAUAUUAAGUGAACAAAAUCUUUUAUUUAUUGAUAGACGAUCAGUCAGCGGGUUUGACAAUAAUCAUCUGUUAAUGGACAUGUAACAAUGUACUGAUUUGACAUAUUUAUUAGAGAAAAUAUACGGGUCUAAAUAUAUAACAGUUUAACAAAUAUAUUUAUUUUUAUAAAUAAUAAAUAUAUGGUAGCAGAAUAUAUAAUGAAAAUAUAAUAAAUAAUUAAUUAUAAAGAGAUUGCUGGCUUGAGUAACGAUAGAUAGUAUAAGACUAUCCUCCUAUUCAUAAGGUUUAACUAUAAACGAACGGUCCCUAAGAUAGAUAUAGAAAUAUAUCAUUAAUGGGUGAAAGAACAAGAAAAGUAGAAUAAAGAACCGUACUGUAAACCGACACAGGUAUGAUAAAGGAGAAUGAGACAACUACUAUGAAUGAACUCGGCAAAUAGGUAUAAAGCUUAUAGUCGUGCGACUGUUUACCAAAAACAUAGCUUACUGCAUAUUAGCAAUAAUAAGUAUAGUAAGUGAUAUCUGCCCGGUGUAUGCCUAAUAAGAUAAUUAUAUAUAAAGUAUAAUAUUUAAAAGGUGUGUUAACGGCGGUCUUAUUGUGAGGAUCCGAAGGUAGCGAAAUUCAUUGACGCAUAAUUGGUGUCCUGCAUGAAUGAAUACACGAUGCGACAACUGUAUCCAUAGUAGACUCAGUGAAAUAGCAAUUGCGGUGAAGAUGCCGUAUACCCGUAGUUUGACAAAAAGACCCUAUGCAGCUUUACUAUAUCUUUAUUCUGAUUUUAACAUUAUUUAUUUCAGUUUAUUAGGUUUUAUUUAUUUAUAAAUCAAUUGAGAUACCUAUAUUUAUAAUUAUUAAAUCUUAUCAUUUUUUAUAUUUAUAUUUAUUUAUAAAUAUUUAUUUAUUAUUUUAUUAAUAAAUAUAUGAGACAAAGUAAAGAGGUUAGUUUCGAUGGGGCGUCGACAUCAGCGAAAGCAUCUGAUGUGUCUAAUUAAUAAUCAUUAUAUUUAUAUAUAUUUUAUAUAUAAUAGUAUAUUACGUACAAUAUAACUAUAUGGCAAAUAGUUAAAUAUUUAUAAUACAUUUAAAGUAAGGAUAACAACAUAAUUGUGCGAUGAUAAUGACACAAACAAGUGGAAUUAGUACAUAAGUAGAGUGUAGUGAACAGGCAUAAACAAAUGAUAUGGAUGUCGAUAACGGAUUAAAGUUACGCUAGGGAUAACAGGGUAAUACCGCGUGAGAGUUGAUAUCGUCAGCGGUGUUUGCCACCUCGAUGUCGUCUAGACUCGUCCUCCUGGUCGCAGCAACUGGGUAGGGUAGGACUGUUCGUCCUCUAAGGAGUUACUUGAGAUGGGUUAAUUACGACGUGAGUCAGUAAUGAUUUUAUCAUCUAUGGGUCUUUACUUUUUUAUUGCCUCAAGUGUACGAAAGGAUAUUGAGGUAUUUUCCUAUGGUUUUUUGUUAUUUAUUUAUCUUUUAAUAACAUAUUUGCUAAGAAAAUUGAGAAUACAUAUUGAAAGCAUCUCAAAUAUUAAAUCCUUUAAAAAAGUUUAUAUCAUAUUAUAUUAAUAUGUAAUAGUUAUAUAAUAUUUAUUUAUAUUAUAAUACUAAUUAUUUAUAUCAUAUACCAUACAAUAUCUUAUUUAGGGAUCAUAGAUUAAUUGGUAAAUCUUUCGCUUUGCAUGC
rnacentral:rRNA from 1 species